rnacentral:rRNA from 1 species
UUCAACGGCCGCGGUAUUUUAACCGUGCAAAGGUAGCGCAAUCACUAGUCCUUUAAAUGGGGACCUGUAUGAAUGGUUAGACGAGGGCUUAACUGUCUCCCUUAUCCGGUCAGUGAAAUUGAUCUAUCCGUGCAGAAGCGGGUAUAAUUAUACAAGACGAGAAGACCCUUUGGAGCUUAAGGUACAAAACUCACCCAUAUUAAGCAAGCCCCUAAAAUAUAUAAAUAUAAUGGCCAAUGAGAAUUUACCUUCGGUUGGGGCGACCACGGAGCAAAAAACAGCCUCCGAGUGGAUUGGACAAAUUCCAAAACCAAGAAAGACACCUCUAAGUAACAGAACAUCUGACCAAAUAUGACCCGGCCCAAAGCCGAUUAACGAACCAAGUUACCCAAGGGAUAACAGCGCAAUCCUCUUCCAGAGUCCAUAUCGACGAGAGGGUUUACGACCUCGAUGUUGGAUCAGG